UCCGAUAUUUUAGCUGUCCUGUGGAGGAGCUGAAGGUGAAAAGAGGGACGUUGUUUCACAAGCGGGUUGGUUAGUCUGCGUGCUUUGGGAAAGCAAAAUAUGGUACAUCCUCCUCUUUACCCUAUCGGCCCCAGGCUGAUCCAGCUCUGCAAAAUCUGGGCUCGGCCGGCGGCCUUGUAUGGAGCAACCGGUGCCAUUGGGGUUGCGUACUUCACCGAUUGGAAAGCAGUACUCCAGUAUGUUCCAUUUUAUAAUGGAAAAUACAAGGAAGAGUAACGGACUCAUUGGUUGAAGAGAAGCCAUAAAGAUAUAAUUCAUUUCCAAAGCAUAGGAGCAACUUAAUAAAAUUGACAAAAUACAAAUGAACUAAAA